UGAGUUGGAACUCUUCACUCUUGCUGUUCAAAGAUGGGAUACAAAAGCAAUGGAAGAUCUUCCAGAUUAUAUGAUAGUAUGUUAUCUUGCACUCAUCAAUACCACAAAUGAAGUGGCAUAUGAGGUUCUCAAAAAACACGACAUCAACGUCCUACCCUACCUUACACAAUCAUGGACAGAUUUAUGCAAAUCAUACUUACAAGAAGCAAGAUGGUACUACAAUGGAUACAAGCCAAGUCUAGAAGAAUACAUGGAUAAUGGAUGGAUCUCCAUUGCAGUUCCAAUGGUAUUAGUGAAUGCAUUGUUCCUAGUCACAAAUCAAAUUACCAAAGAGGCCUUGGAAUCCUUAACCAAUUAUCCUGACAUUAUUCGAUGCUCUGUUAUUAUUUUUCGUUUAAACGAUGAUUUGGGGACAU